rnacentral:lncRNA from 1 species
AGAGGGAAACAGCAUGGGCAAAGCCUAGUGUUUUGAGUUGAAUUCAUAUGCUAAUGUCCUGACCCCCAGUUCCUCAGGACAUGACCUUAUUUGGAAAUAGGACCGUAGCAGGUGUAAUUAGUUCAGAGGAAGGUGCACUGGAGCAGAGGGGACCCUGAUCCAACAUGACUGAGCACAGGAGUUCUCCAGCUCUAUGGGCUAAGGAUCUGGCAUUGCCUCUGCCCUGAUGGGGUUUGAUUCCUGGCCUGGGAACUUCUGCAUGCUCCAGGCAUAGCCAAGGAAAAAACCAAUAUGAUUGAGCACAGACACACAGAAAAGGCCACAUGAAGAUGAAGGCACAGGAGUUCCCACUGUGGUUCAGUGGGUUAAGGAUUCAGCUUUGCUGCAGCUGUGGCUCGAUUCUAUCCCUGGGAACGUCCAUAUGCUGUGAGUAUGGAAGGCGGGGUGGAAUAAAAGAAUGAAGGCAGAGAUAAUGCGUCCACAAGCCAAAGAAGGCUAGCAAUGGCCAGCGAACCACGAGAAGCUGGGAAAGGUACAGAACAGGGUCUGCCUCCCAGCCCUCAGCGGGAACCAACCCGGCGACCACCUCGAUCUCAACGCUUCCAGACUCCGGACUGAGAGACAGAAAAUUGCUGUCGUUUAAGCCACCCAGUCUGUGGUACUUUAUGACAGCAGCCCCAGCAAACGUUUUCCCAGCAUGGAGAACGUGCAACCACAAGUUCGGAGAAGAGCGCAUGAUUCAGCAAGAAACGCUUGCGCUAGACUCCAUCUUGGGUAAAAGAUGCAUGCGCACACACAGGGCAAGGCCCUGAGUCGGGCCAAAUGUGGACUCAAGACCAGACAAAGCAAGAUGAUUGGCCGGAAGAAACGUGGAAGAACUGCCCCCAUGUAAGUGAUUCAAACCACCCCAAAGGGCAUGGCUCUCUCUGUCGCUGCACUCACACCACACGGCAGUUUCUGGGCCAGGGAUCAAAUCUGAGCCGAAGCCUCGACCUAUGUCACAGCUGUGGCAACGCUGAGAACCCCUGAGAUUCCUGAGGCGUCACCCCGCAGCGUCCCAGCACUUUUCUCUGCCGCAUCUCCCUUUCUCCUUCUUCCUGCUCCCUCCCCAACCCUCACCAUUCUUUGCGCAUUCCUGGAAGAUGAGGGAGUCUGAGUAGCAGGGGGGAAAUGUUUACCAGAUGCUGUAACAUUGUAGUUAAAAGUUGAGGCUGUCACGUCCAACAGACAUGGCCUUGAAACCUAGCUCUGCAAGGCGCUAAACUUGUGGUAACCUUGGGCAGGUCCCUUUAGCUCUUUGAGCUCCGGGUUCCUCGUCUGCAGGUUCCUCGUCUGCAGAAUGGGGAUAAUUAAUAGCACCCAACUCAUAAGGUCAGACAACUUAACGGAGAUAAUACAGGUAAAAGGUUUAACAUAAAGAUGCCCCUAAACAUGCCCUGGCACCAUCGCCACUACCGUCACCAUUAACGAGGGGCAAAUGACAGGCAAAUCCUUCUUUUAUCGGACCUACAAUAUAGUUUUCACUCAGUUUGAUAUUUUCACUAUACACUAAAGAAUAAGAUCUUUUUAAAAAUUGAUUUUUAAUUACGUGAGAAAUGCACAAAUACAUACUACUUAAAAGAAAAAAAAAACGACACUACUAUUAUAGGUAAGACUAAAGUCUCAUUGGAGGGCCGGUCCCUUGGCUCCUCUAUCUCAGCGCCCCCAACCCAUCUCAUCCUUCCUCGUCAUUCUCCAAAGGUAAUCGCUAAUAUUUUGCUGCCUCUGCCUCAGGCGUUUUUUUCCCUGUGCUCUUGCAAGCACAUGUCCUUGUCCUUUGAAAUAAACGGAGUGGUUUGAGUGUGCCGUA